AAUGAAAAGUUAUCAUUUGCAAAGUGACCUUUGAACAAGAUUUGUAUGACUUCAUAUCUUUAAUUUCUUUAUAUGUAGCCUAUUUGUAGGACUUCAUAUCUUUAAAAUGUUUAAUCCUUUUCCCCUCCUGCUGGUAAAUAAAGACAUGUAAACUUUGACCAAAGCUGAAAUGCAUCUAAUCCAAAUGUGAUUUUGAUGUUGACUGAAUAUUGUGAGGAAGGUAAAUAAGGCAGAGAUCAUUAACCAGAUUUAUGACUGGAAUGGACUGAGCAGCUGCUAUUGAGCUGAUUUUAAGCCUUCAGUAAACUGCCAGCAUCAGUGUGUACAAGAACUAACUUGCAUCAACCGAACUAUUGCCUGGAUAACAGUGUGGCAGGUGCCAAAUCCUGCUGGAAAAUUAGAUCAGCAUCUUCAAAGAGUUGGUCAGCAGAAGGAAGCAUGAAGGGCUCCAAAAUUUCUUGGUAAACGGGAGCAGUGACUUUGGUUUUCAAAAAACACAAUGGACAAAAACCAGAAGAUGACAUUGCACCCCAAAUCAUCACAGACUGUGGAAACUUAACACUGGACUUCAAGCAACUUGGGCUAUGAGCUUCUCCAACCUUCCUCCAGACUAGGACCUUGGUUUCAAAAGGAAAUACAAAACUUGCUUUGAUCUGAAAAGAAGACUUUGGGCCACUGGGCAACAGUCCAGUUCUUCCUCUCCUUAUACCAGAAAUCCAGAGCGUGCUUCAGUUUACCUCUCUGGCUGGAACAGCGCCAAGCUCACCAGUUCCCUCUAUCAGUUCCUUUCCAUCAACCGACAUGCUGCCUUUGGAACUUAAUUUCUUAAAAUAUCUGAAUGUGCUCUUUUCAAGCCUACUUAUCAGGAAUAUACUUUUUCUAUAAACUAACCACAGGCAACAAUUGCUCUGCUAUCUCUUAUUCUCACACAUCCAAGCCUGUUAAAGGCCUAUGAAACAAGAACCUAUGCCAAACCACCAAACGCCUACCACUAACCUACUUCUUUUCUGCAUAAUCUCAUAGGAUCAUGCUAUCCAAAUUCAGAGACUGAUCAAACUUUAGACUUCAUGUUCUCAUUAGCAUUCUUCGGCAUCCUACGAUGCUCAGAACUCACUCCAACUCCUCUACAUUCAAUCCUUCUAUCCACUUCCUGUACAUCUUCACACUUCAAAGAAGCAAACUCACCAAUUAGGAACCCCCAUCCCGAGUUUCUCUGAGCCAUCAAUUCAAGAUGCCCAGAGCAACCUGACCAUCAUCCUAUCCUACAUUUUCAUCCUCUUCCAACUCAUCCCUAACAUUCUGAACAAUAAAUGAUGUAUUUACAUAUUUGGUUGUGUUGUGGUCUUUGCUCCUGAAAAUGCUAUUAAACUGUCACUUUUCUCUUAAUCUCUGUUCUUACAUUGCACUGUCUCUCUUUUUAUUUCUUACUUUUACACAUACACUCAAGGGUCUACAGUUGAGCUGGUAUUGUUUUGUGUUUGAGAGAGACAGAGAUGUUUGCUUGUGUCUGUGAUAAAUGGCAGUGCCUGCCAUUUUAGCAAAGGUAUGGCCGCUCUGUUACACCCUGCUGUGGUAAUUAUUACAGAUUCCAUAGACCAGAGGUAGAAAAUUGAAAAUAUAAAUUAUUUAUGGUGCACAGAGGUCUGUCUUCUCUGUCUUUGUUGGCCACAAAGCAUCAGAUAUGCUGGGAUGUCCUUUAGUGUGGUGUCUUGCUCUUGUUCUUCAGUGAUUAACCCAUUUAGACACAGUGGAGUGGAACUCUCCUCAACAUGGAACAUAGAUGGAUUUUUGGAGAGGAAGGGUUUCAGGAAAGUGCUUGCAGUUUGUUUGUAGAGCAGAACAAUCUGCUCCAAGUGUAAACUAUGGCCCUGACUGCUGAGCAGCCUGGAGAUAAGUUGGUUUGACCUUUUCAACUCCAAGUCGUGGAGAUGUUGCUUGUCAUUUUAGCAUUGUCAGACGUCAGAGCUCUUGCAUGAGACUUUGUAAACAGUACUUUACACAGCUUGUACUGUAAAAAUACUGAUUGCCUUACAUGUCAUUUUAUUAAUAAUAUAUGAAGAGUUUGUUUCCAAAACGCAAUAAAUCCAUUUAGAAUAA